ensembl:misc_RNA Metazoa_SRP Metazoan signal recognition particle RNA
GCUGGGAGUGGUGGCACACACCUGUAGUCCCAGCUACUCAGGAGGCUAAGGUAGGAGGAUUGCUUGAGCCUGGGAGAUCGAGGCUGCAGUGAGCUAUAAGGGCUUCGCUGUACUCUAGCCCAGGUGACAGAGCAAGACCCCAUCUCUU